GAUGAAGAACGCAGCGAAAUGCGAUACGUAAUGUGAAUUGCAGAGUUCAGUGAAUCAUCGAAUCUUUGAACGCAUAUUGCGCUCUCUGGUAUUCCGGAGAGCAUGCUUGUUUGAGUAUCAGUAAACACCUCAACUUCCAUAUCUUUUUUGAAAUGGGAGUUGGACUUGAGUGAUCCCAACGCUUUUCCUCACCGAAAAGUGGCGGGUUACUUGAAAUGCAGGUGCAGCUGGACUUUUCUCUGAGCUAUAAGCAUAUCUAUUUAGUCUGCCUAAAAAACAGAUUAUUACCUUUGCUGCAGCUAACAUAAAGGAGAUUAGUUCUUGUGCUGACUGAUGCAGGAUUCACAAAGACAGGCUUCGGCCGACUUUGUAAACUCGAUCUCAAAUCAAGUAAGACUACCCGCUGAACUUAAGCAUAUCAAUAAGCGGAGGA
rnacentral:misc_RNA from 1 species